UACGUAGGGUGCAAGCGUUGUCCGGAAUUAUUGGGCGUAAAGAGCUCGUAGGCGGUCUGUCGCGUCUGCUGUGAAAACUCGGGGCUUAACCCCGGGCCUGCAGUGGGUACGGGCAGACUAGAGUGCGGUAGGGGAGACUGGAAUUCCUGGUGUAGCGGUGAAAUGCGCAGAUAUCAGGAGGAACACCGAUGGCGAAGGCAGGUCUCUGGGCCACUACUGACGCUGAGACGCGAAAGCGUGGGGAGCGAACAGG
rnacentral:rRNA from 1 species